CUCAGAAAGAAAAAAAGGAUAGGUGCAGAGACUCAACGGAAGCUGUUCU
rnacentral:tRNA from 1 species